rnacentral:sRNA from 1 species
GUAAGCUCGAUUGCUGACAUAUAUGCAGUAAUACAUGUUUCUUUUGACUGACAUCAUCAUAGAGGUAACUCUCUCAUUCUCUUUCACACACAGUCUCCAAUUUGAUUUUCCUGUUACAGCAUUUGCUCAAACACUAAAAGGAUACAAAACAUUGGGUUUUGGAUUUAUAAUUUUUGGAAAAAGGAAAACU